AUUGAACGCUGGCGGCAUGCUUUACACAUGCAAGUCGAACGGCAGCACGGGUGCUUGCACCUGGUGGCGAGUGGCGAACGGGUGAGUAAUACAUCGGAACGUACCUUAUCGUGGGGGAUAACGCAGCGAAAGCUGUGCUAAUACCGCAUACGCCCUGAGGGGGAAAGCGGGGGAUCGAAAGACCUCGCGCGAUUAGAGCGGCCGAUGCCUGAUGAGCUUGUGGGUGGGGUAAAAGCCCACCAAGGCGACGAUCAGUAGCUGGUCUGAGAGGACGAUCAGCCACACUGGGACUGAGACACGGCCAGACUCCUACGGGAGGCAGCAGUGGGGAAUUUUGGACAAUGGGGGCAACCCUGAUCCAGCAAUGCCGCGUGAGUGAAGAAGGCCUUCGGGUUGUAAAGCUCUUUUGUCAGGGAAGAAACACCGGCUCUAACACAGUCCGGGAAUGACGGUACCUGAAGAAUAAGCACCGGCUAACUACGUGCCAGCAGCCGCAGUAA
rnacentral:rRNA from 1 species